rnacentral:rRNA from 1 species
UACGAAGGGGGCUAGCGUUGCUCGGAAUUACUGGGCGUAAAGGGCGCGUAGGCGGACAUUUAAGUUAGAGGUGAAAGCCCAGGGCUCAACCCUGGAAUAGCCUUUAAUACUGGAUGUCUUGAGUUCGGGAGAGGUGAGUGGAAUGCCGAGUGUAGAGGUGAAAUUCGUAGAUAUUCGGCGGAACACCAGUGGCGAAGGCGACUCACUGGCCCGAUACUGACGCUGAGGCGCGAAAGCCAGGGGAGCAAACGGU